GUGGUUAACAUUAAUGAGGAUUUUGAAUUUGAACAUUAAUGAGAUGAUAUGGAAAAUUGAGAUUAUUGAAGUUUCCAGAAGAGAGAAAAUAGAAAGGAGAGUUAGGGUUCAUCGUCUGGCUGUUGUUGAUCGUCGUCGGCGGCGUUGUUUUGCUUCGUUGACGGCGGCGACUUAGGGUUCAUCGUCUGGCCUGUUGUUGAACGUCGGCGGUGGCGGCGAUUUGCUUGGUUGAUGGCGGCGACUUAGGGUUCAUCGUCUGGGGUGUUCUUGAUCGUCGGCGGAGGUGGUGAUUUGCUUCGUUGACGGCGGCGACUUCAUCGUCAAAGUCGUAAGUCCCUCAGUUACUGACUCCUUUUGAAGAUUACCACCGACAAAUACAUAUCAAAGAUCAGGGGUUUUGAAUCUUUUCUCGCAUUCGAAAAUCUGAGAAUUUUGUUUCCAUCUUCUUGCAUAUGAACUUGUUUUUCAGGGUAAUAUGGUUUGCUACUGCCUGGACAAUCUGGCGCCACCGAAAUUGUGUCAUCUUCAAUAAUAGGACUGGGAAUGAAGAACCGAUUUUGGAAUUGAUUCAAUUCAGAGCGUGGUAGUGGCUCUCAGGUAGGGUGAAGGGCUUCAAUUUUUCAGUUUAUGAGUGGAAGACUCAACCAAUUAUCUGCAUCCAAUCUGUACAGUAGGAAUUUCUGGUUUGGAAAUUGGUUAAUAUGGUGGUGCUUGUGGCUUUUGUAUGUGCGUUUGCGUACUGUUUGGGGGCCCUGGUUGGUUGAGUGUGAUGCGGCUAUAGGGGAUGGUGGAUUGAGUUCAUAUAUGUGUAAUAGAAUGAGUUGGAGUGUGCUCAUAGUUUCUCGAAGGAAGCAUCCAUUUUGUUCAGUUAUGAGCUUCUUUCUUUUGGUUGUUUGCUUUGUUCCCCCUGUUUCUUUCUGAUGUAAUCUGUUUCCCCACUUCUUUUCUUUUUUCUUUGAUGUAAACCAUGGGAAGGCACCCCUUGUGCCUAUAUAUAUGACAAAAUUGGCUUAUCCAAAAAAAAAAAUAAGACAUGUUUAUGUUGAAUGCA